rnacentral:lncRNA from 1 species
UUUAAACUGGAUUUCAAAACUCACAUUUCAAAUAUUUGCAAAAAAGCUGCACGACAACUAAAACGUUCUAAAAAGAAUUGGCACUCAUCUCACCAGACUUUCUAAACUCACAAUAUACCACUCAUUUAUAUCAUGUCAAACCUCAGCUAUUGUCCUCUUACAUGACACUUCUGCAGUGAACAAAACACAAAGAAAAUAGAAAAAAUACAAGAAAGAGCAUGCACUCAGAUUUAUUUAUGACGACUACACAAAUUCUUACGAUACACUUCUUGAACAGUCUAAGCUUCCAGCACUAAAAAUCAGAAGAUUGAGAACCAUGGCAUUAGAGACAUAUAAAGUUAUUAUUAAUAAAUCAAGUCCAGAAUUCCUACAUAAUUUAGUAAAUAUUAAAGAAAAUUCAUAUAACUUCGGGUACAAAGCAUAGCAGAUAUAUCACGGCC